rnacentral:rRNA from 1 species
AGUGAACGCUGGCGGUAGGCCUAACACAUGCAAGUCGAACGGCAGCACAGUAAGAGCUUGCUCUUACGGGUGGCGAGUGGCGGACGGGUGAGGAAUACAUCGGAAUCUACUUUUUCGUGGGGGAUAACGUAGGGAAACUUACGCUAAUACCGCAUACGACCUACGGGUGAAAGCAGGGGAUCUUCGGACCUUGCGCGAUUGAAUGAGCCGAUGUCGGAUUAGCUAGUUGGCGGGGUAAAGGCCCACCAAGGCGACGAUCCGUAGCUGGUCUGAGAGGAUGAUCAGCCACACUGGAACUGAGACACGGUCCAGACUCCUACGGGAGGCAGCAGUGGGGAAUAUUGGACAAUGGGCGCAAGCCUGAUCCAGCCAUACCGCGUGGGUGAAGAAGGCCUUCGGGUUGUAAAGCUCUUUUGUUGGGAAAGAAAAGAAGCAGGUUAAUACCCCGCUGUUCUGACGGUACCCAAAGAAUAAGCACCGGCUAACUUCGUG